UUAGUUUACUUCUUCAUCCCAGCGCUUUUCAAUUUACAAGAAUCUCACGGAGUAAGGAUCGUAUUCUACUUCUCAAUCUCAAUCAAAUAUCCAUAUGUGAAAUCACUUGCUUCUUUUAGACUCCUCCUAAUUUAUAUCGUCGUACUCAAGAUAAUCAGAUGGAAAUUUGAAAUGAACAAAAGAAGGAGUUGGAACCAUUAUGAUCCCCAAGGAAACUUUUAAUAUAAUACCUUGAAUUUUCGAUUUGGAUGGAAUAUUCGAAAUCUAAAUAGGAACUUAGUUAAAAGAAUCCAAUAGAAAAUAGCAAAUAUCUACUUCCCGCUUCGAUUUGGCUCAUGGAGAAUACGAACUCUUUAUCUUAUAUUUCGUCUUCGUCACUUCCUUCUUCAAGAUAUCAUCGUCAUAUGUAUUGAUAUACAUACCAUUUUAGUAAUGUUUAUCAUAACUUUUCGAAUCUCUUCAUGCUUGUGAAGUUUAGAAAUAGAAACCUCUUGUAUUUUCAUUUAAUUCAUAAUUACUGUCUAUAUUUUUGUCUUUUUUGUCACUGUUGAAAUUAAAAUGUGCUGAACCUAA
rnacentral:lncRNA from 1 species